AUUGAACGCUGGCGGCAUGCUUUACACAUGCAAGUCGAACGGCAGCGCGGGCUUCGGCCUGGCGGCGAGUGGCGAACGGGUGAGUAAUACAUCGGAACGUGCCCAGUAGUGGGGGAUAGCUCGGCGAAAGCCGGAUUAAUACCGCAUACGACCUGAGGGGGAAAGCGGGGGAUCUUCGGACCUCGCGCUAUUGGAGCGGCCGAUGGCAGAUUAGCUAGUUGGUGGGGUAAAGGCCUACCAAGGCGACGAUCUGUAGCUGGUCUGAGAGGACGACCAGCCACACUGGGACUGAGACACGGCCCAGACUCCUACGGGAGGCAGCAGUGGGGAAUUUUGGACAAUGGGCGAAAGCCUGAUCCAGCAAUGCCGCGUGUGUGAUGAAGGCCUUCGGGUUGUAAAGCACUUUUGGAGGGAACGAAAAGGACUGUGCCAAUACCACGGUUCGAUGACGGUACCCGCAGAAUAAGCACCGGCUAACUACGUG
rnacentral:rRNA from 1 species